rnacentral:rRNA from 1 species
UCCGUUAUGGCCAGGAAAAAUUCUUAUUGAAAGCAGGUUUAUUUAAAUUUUUAUAUUUAAAAAAACUGGAGAAGUUUUAUUUCUGCUUUAAAAAAGGCAGCCUUUGCCGUAUACAAUCCAACACAGGUGGCAUAGCAGAAAAUGCUCAGGCAAACACAUAUCCUCGGUAAAGGAACUCGGCAAAUUACUCCUGUACCUUUGGAAGAAGGGAGCCCAUUUUUUAAAACUAUACAUUUUUCGUUUUUUCUUAAAAAAUGGGGUCACAAAAAAGGGAUGGGGAACUGUUUAGCAAAAAGUGCGACAAGAAGUUAUCUAUUGGAUUGAGGGCGAGAUUCCCUCCUUUCUUUCUGUUGGAAUGAGUCUACUCUGACAUGCGUUUUUGGUAACAAGAAGGUGUGGAGCUCAGAAGACAAUGUAUCAUUGCUCAACGUACCCAGGCAAUGAGCUAGACUAGACGUACAAGGUGAACGAAAGUGAACAUAUUUUAUUUAGGCCUCGUGAAAACGGUACACCUUCCCCAUCGGGGAAGGACAACAGUGGGUGGGCGCUGAUCCUUUUUGUACCAGUAGCCAAACAGACACAAUUCCCACCGGGGUAGAGUAUGCACCUAAACACGUCAUUAUAUCCAAUAGGUAGAACUUGGUAAGCCUCAUGUGGACCAAACACAAAUGGAGGGAUGGAAGUAAUUCCAUCUAUCCCACAGGAGGUAGAAGAUUUGAUAAAAAGCAAAUGCCUGCUUGUAAUGAGUGGGAUAGGGUCCCUAUGGCCUAAUUCGAAAGAAUGCUGACUUAUCUUAAAAGCUUCACAGCUUCAAUGAUAACUUGAUACACAAACUGGAGUUGUAGCUACCCAGUCUCUCUUCAAGCUUUUCUACUGAACUUAUUGGAUAAAAACCUUUUGUUCUAUCGAACAAAAGCGCUGCGCCAAAAAAUGGCAUCUAAUAAGACAAGUAAGUAGAGUAUAGUAAAGUUUGGUAUGUAUGACAUUGACUGGACGUCUGUAUAGCAAAAGGGGUCGGCUCAUCGUGUCCUCUUGCUGCAGAAGGUAAGAAGGGUUCGACUGUUCGUCGAUUAAAACGGUACGUGAGCUGGGUUCAGUGCGUGGUGACACAGCACGGCUCUUCUCUGUGGCAGUUUUUUAGACAGUUACAUAUACUUUUUAGUACGAAAGGACCUGAAAGUACACACCUCUGGUAUAUCAGUUGUAUUUUUAAAAAUGCAUUGCUGAGCAGCUAAGUGUGCAAACAGUAUGGCUGAAAGCAUCUUAAGCCAGAAAGUUGUGUAAAACCAUGUCUCUUUUUUGGUUGUAGACUAUAACCUUUAUCGGUACAUUGUAAAGAAACGAAAGUUUAUAGGAUUUUCCUCACGAAU